AACGAACGCUGGCGGCAGGCCUAACACAUGCAAGUCGAACGCUGUAGCAAUACAGAGUGGCAGACGGGUGAGUAACGCGUGGGAACGUGCCUUUCGGUUCGGAAUAACUCAGGGAAACUUGAGCUAAUACCGGAUACGCCCUUCGGGGGAAAGAUUUAUUGCCGAAAGAUCGGCCCGCGUCCGAUUAGCUAGUUGGUGUGGUAAUGGCGCACCAAGGCGACGAUCGGUAGCUGGUCUGAGAGGAUGAUCAGCCACACUGGGACUGAGACACGGCCCAGACUCCUACGGAAGGCAGCAGUGGGGAAUAUUGGACAAUGGGCGCAAGCCUGAUCCAGCCAUGCCGCGUGAGUGAUGAAGGCCCUAGGGUUGUAAAGCUCUUUCGCCAGGGACGAUAAUGACGGUACCUGGAUAAGAAGCCCCGGCUAACUUCGUGCCAGCAGCCGCCGUAA
rnacentral:rRNA from 1 species